UACGUAGGGUGCAAGCGUUGUCCGGAAUUAUUGGGUUUAAAGGGUGCGUAGGCGGGUUAUUAAGUCAGUGGUGAAAUCUUGCAGCUUAACUGUAAAAUUGCCAUUGAUACUGAUGAUCUUGAGUACGUUUGAAGUGGGCGGAAUAUGUCAUGUAGAGGUGAAAUUCUUAGAGAUGACAUAGAACACCGAUUGCGAAGGCAGCUCACUAAACUGUAACUGACGCUGAGGCACGAAAGCGUGGGGAUCAAACAGG
rnacentral:rRNA from 1 species